AGGGUUUGAUCCUGGCUCAGGACGAACGCUGGCGGCGUGCUUAACACAUGCAAGUCGAACGGUAAGGCUCCAGCUUGCUGGGGUACACGAGUGGCGAACGGGUGAGUAACACGUGGGUGACCUGCCCUGCACUUCGGGAUAAGCCUGGGAAACUGGGUCUAAUACCGGAUAGGACCAUGGUGUGGAUACUGUGGUGGAAAGUUUUUUCGGUGUGGGAUGGGCCCGCGGCCUAUCAGCUUGUUGGUGGGGUAAUGGCCUACCAAGGCGGCGACGGGUAGCCGGCCUGAGAGGGUGGACGGCCACAUUGGGACUGAGACACGGCCCAGACUCCUACGGGAGGCAGCAGUGGGGAAUAUUGCACAAUGGGCGCAAGCCUGAUGCAGCGACGCCGCGUGGGGGAUGACGGCCUUCGGGUUGUAAACUCCUUUCACCAUCGACGAAGGGUUUCUGACGGUAGAUGGAGAAGAAGCACCGGCUAACUACGUGCCAGCAGCCGCGGUAAUACGUAGGGUGCGAGCGUUGUCCGGAAUUACUGGGCGUAAAGAGCUCGUAGGUGGUUUGUCGCGUCGUCUGUGAAAUUCCGGGGCUUAACUCCGGGCGUGCAGGCGAUACGGGCAUAACUUGAGUACUGUAGGGGAGACUGGAAUUCCUGGUGUAGCGGUGAAAUGCGCAGAUAUCAGGAGGAACACCGGUGGCGAAGGCGGGUCUCUGGGCAGUAACUGACGCUGAGGAGCGAAAGCAUGGGGAGCGAACAGGAUUAGAUACCCUGGUAGUCCAUGCCGUAAACGGUGGGCGCUAGGUGUGGGUUUCCUUCCACGGGAUCCGUGCCGUAGCUAACGCAUUAAGCGCCCCGCCUGGGGAGUACGGCCGCAAGGCUAAAACUCAAAGGAAUUGACGGGGGCCCGCACAAGCGGCGGAGCAUGUGGAUUAAUUCGAUGCAACGCGAAGAACCUUACCUGGGCUUGACAUAUACAGGAUCGCGCCAGAGAUGGUGUUUCCCUUGUGGCUUGUAUACAGGUGGUGCAUGGUUGUCGUCAGCUCGUGUCGUGAGAUGUUGGGUUAAGUCCCGCAACGAGCGCAACCCUUGUCUUAUGUUGCCAGCACGUGAUGGUGGGGACUCGUAAGAGACUGCCGGGGUUAACUCGGAGGAAGGUGGGGAUGACGUCAAAUCAUCAUGCCCCUUAUGUCCAGGGCUUCACACAUGCUACAAUGGUCGGUACAGUGGGUUGCCAGUCCGUGAGGGCGAGCUAAUCCCGUAAAGCCGGUCUCAGUUCGGAUCGGGGUCUGCAACUCGACCCCGUGAAGUCGGAGUCGCUAGUAAUCGCAGAUCAGCAACGCUGCGGUGAAUACGUUCCCGGGCCUUGUACACACCGCCCGUCACGUCAUGAAAGUCGGUAACACCCGAAGCCAGUGGCCUAACACUUUUUUGUGGGGGAGCUGUCGAAGGUGGGAUUGGCGAUUGGGACGAAGUCGUAACAAGGUAGCCGUACCGGAAGGUGCGGCUG
rnacentral:rRNA from 2 species